UUGUGAUGUCUGACCAUACUAUGAGGGCUGAACGAAUAAGUCAUAUUAAACUGAUCAACUUUUACUAUGGGACUGACAGCCACAACGCAAAAAAUAAAUCUGCUGUCUCAUACGAUUUGGCGAAUCAUAUGUCAAUGUUUUCUGUGAAACAUCAGAUUUCUUUUCUCGAUUUCGGUGUUGGCUCCGUAGUAAAGUUGUUCAGUAUGACCUACCUAUUCACCCCUCAGAGUAUGGUCAGUCAUAACAAAAUCACCCUGUAUUCUUAUCAGCAUUGUUUGUAGUGUCUGAAUCUUAAACUAAUGUCAAUUCCUCGUCACUUAUUGCCGAAAUUAUCACAGCGCCGCUAUUUGUGAAAAGUGCACAAGUUCUCGCCAUGUCGAGUGGUCUUCAAAUAAGUGAAUGGAUUCGCAAUAAUGUCGCUUAGUUUAAUAUGCGAUCAAGUUCAAUUAUUACUUUUCAAGAUUAGUCCUUAUCCUUUUGAUAUAUAUAUAAAGUUGUAAGGGAUUGCUAUAAAACCUUCUUCGCAUUAACCGCUUUGUGCUGGCCGGUUAACAAAAUAAAAACAUUUUAAAAUCUCGUUUGGCAAUCUGUCAUAUUUUUUUCAAAUGAGAAAUUGUCAACCGGUCACAUAUGUUUUAUAAAUAAUUCAUUGAAUAUCUAUAUUUUAUCUCAUUUUGUUCGUUAAAUGCUGUUAUUGUGUCCCCAGAUCGAGUUAGAGAUAGAUCAAGUCUGGAGUUAAAAUCGGAACCCACCAACCUGGAUGCGCAUGCUCCACUACGUCCGGAAGGUUCCCGUGCUGAGGAUCCGGAACAACGACUGAAGAUAGCCACCACCUUUGGACCCGGGUACGUCCUUAAACUACGUCCGAAGAGAGGUACGGGCAUUGUGAAUGUCAUCUCGCUCAGUGUGGUAGGGCACAGUACAGCGGAUGUCAUUCCGGAUCUUAGGCUACGGAGACUGCUUACCAUCAGGCGGGUCGUAUGCUUGUUUGCCACCGACGUAGUAUAUAAAAAAACACCAAUUGCGAUGUACCGCGGCAUAGUGCAGGAAAGUGACCACUAUUAAAGACUUGUUUCGCCCUUAAUUGUCUAUUGCCAGCUCAGGUUUUUGUUUUUUAAUUUUAAUAUAUUGUGUAAAAUGCG